CAGAGUGGAAACAGAAAGUUAACUGCUUACUAGUACUAGUGAAUGCUGCCUGAAGAUUGGAACCUUUGCCCAGCACUGCUAUCCUGAGAUGAGCCAGCCAGGAAAUGGAAGAGUUGAUUUUGUUCAAACAAGCAAGCAGGAAAUCAACCUUUUGCAGUUGUUUGAAGUAGAGAGAGCCUUCAGCGAGGAAAGGAAAAUCAGAUGAUUUUGGAAAAUAUGGACAAUUUUCAACUGACUAGAAGCCCGGGGUCUCUGAAGUU